rnacentral:rRNA from 1 species
AUUGAACGCUGGCGGCAGGCCUAACACAUGCAAGUCGAGCGGAUGAAGGGAGCUUGCUCCUGGAUUCAGCGGCGGACGGGUGAGUAAUGCCUAGGAAUCUGCCUGGUAGUGGGGGAUAACGUCCGGAAACGGGCGCUAAUACCGCAUACGUCCUGAGGGAGAAAGUGGGGGAUCGUCGGACCUCACGCUAUCAGAUGAGCCUAGGUCGGAUUAGCUAGUUGGUGGGGUAAAGGCCUACCAAGGCGACGAUCCGUAACUGGUCUGAGAGGAUGAUCAGUCACACUGGAACUGAGACACGGUCCAGACUCCUACGGGAGGCAGCAGUGGGGAAUAUUGGACAAUGGGCGAAAGCCUGAUCCAGCCAUGCCGCGUGUGUGAAGAAGGUCUUCGGAUUGUAAAGCACUUUAAGUUGGGAGGAAGGGCAGUAAGUUAAUACCUUGCUGUUUUGACGGUACCAACAGAAUAAGCACCGGCUAACUUCGUG